rnacentral:lncRNA from 1 species
AGGGACAGUGGUGGCAGAUUUUCUGACUUUAUGAAAAAACUGACGAAAGAAACAAUAUGGUUUUGAGACAGAGUGGUAUGAGGUUUCGACUUUAUGAACAAUGUGUUUUAUCCACAAGAGGGAAAAAUUAAAUGAUGGAGUGGAGGAUGAUUUUGUGUGAUUUUAUGGAAAACGGAUGAAAGAAACAAGAUAUUUUUACAAUAAGAUCGAGGGACACAAUAAUGAGUGAUUUUGUGACUUGAUG